ACACGGUUGCAUAUUGCUUGUUUGAGAGCCAAUGUGGAGUAAUUGUUACAAUAUUGGACGACAGCUCAGAAUACUUUGGUUCAAAUCUUUACACAGCCACAAAACUUGCUGAGUGACCCAUUCCCAAUCAGAGCCUCUCGGCCUGACGUAUUCUGCAAGGUGGUUCCGAGAAUAAAAGAGGGAGAAGGAAGAAGAAGAGAAUGAGGAGAAGAGCUACAUACACCUACCUGAGCUCACUGAAGGUUGCAGACUACUAGUUAUUCUUCUUGCCCUGAAGAAUGGAGAAAUUAGUAAUGGAUCUCAUGCUUCACCAGAGAGCAGAAAUAUGCUGAGGAACAUGCUCCAGCCAGAUCCCCAUUCCUCGACUUCCAUCUCCCUGAAGAAGUUAGUGACUGCAGAAAAAGCUAUUGUGCAGACCCUUGUAGAGAUAUCAGAAGAAUUUUACAUGCUGAGUUCGGGGUCCAUUCCCACCACCACCACCCACAUGUUUGAGAAUACCAUCAUCAGACCACCAUGCUACCUGGGUUGGGAUGAAUCAUAAACCUCUCAAGUCAACAGAGGACACAAACAUAGUUGGAGAAGGAUGCUAUGCUGAAUCUUUUGAUCACGGCAGAAUGUCAACACCAUGCACUGAAAGACUUUCAAGUUAAACAUGAAAAUACUGUCAAAGAGUAAGGAGCUAGGUCAAGGUAAUGAUUUAUAUUUAUAACUACUUGCUAUGAUAAUUGCCCCACUAGUAUUGAGAUGGUGCACUGCAGAAUGCAAUAAGCAAAAUCCAGGGUUUUGCCCCAAAGUCUCUUGUAGUCUAAAUUUAGACAGUACAGGAAGGAGGAAGAGGUUAGUGUAACAAGAAAUGGAUGUGAGGGAAAGGGGUUUGGUAUAUACUUAGGCUUCAUUUCAGCUGGCAAAGACUACAUAGCAGCCUGGCUCAGCCAGGAAAGUGACAGAGGAAAUGAAGGAG
ensembl:lncRNA